CAGCAGUCGCCACGGUAAUACGUAGGGCGCAAGCGUUGUCCGGAAUUAUUGGGCGUAAAGAGCUCGUAGGCGGUCUGUCGCGUCUGGUGUGAAAUCCCGAGGCUCAACCUCGGGCUUGCAUCGGGUACGGGCAGACUAGAGUGCGGUAGGGGAGACUGGAAUUCCUGGUGUAGCGGUGGAAUGCGCAGAUAUCAGGAGGAACACCGAUGGCGAAGGCAGGUCUCUGGGCCGCAACUGACGCUGAGGAGCGAAAGCAUGGGGAGCGAACAGGAUUAGAUACCCCCGUAGUCCCUGUCUCUUAUAC
rnacentral:rRNA from 1 species